UCCAGAAUAUUUCAUAUAGAGAGAGAGAGGAGAGUUAGAGAGAGAAACCAAGUUUUGAUCACAAUCUAAGCCCCGAAUUCCGAAGCUCAUGAAGAGAAAAGUGUUGUACGUUGCGUUGCCUUCAAUUUGAGCUAAAAAUCAGCCAAGAAGAAGAGUGUUGACGUAGUUGCUGCAUAAUUAAGACCUCCGAGCUCGAGAAGUAGACGUUGGACAUUUAGAUAGAGUUCAAGGUACAGAUACUUGGUUUGGUGACCCUCCAGCCUAAGACUUCUGCUCAACUGUUUGGAGAGCUCCAUUCCGGAGCCUAAGUCAUUUUGAUACAGAUCUUUUGGUAUGGGCUUAUGUAUGUAUAUCCAGGGGUACGGCGGGGCCCUGUCCCGUCAUGUUUCACUAUGGUACUCUUAGAGGUCUGUAGACAUAUGUGGGUUGUAUUAGGGUUAUGAUCAGCUGUGUCAAUACGGUUUGCUAUGGAUAUUCCCGCCUGUUGUGGCAGCCUUGUCGGCUUGCGUAUGGUAUUGAUAUGUAGAGACAGCCUUGUCGGCUUGCGUAUUGUAUUUAUAUGUGAUGGCAGCCUUGUCGGCUUGCGUAUCGUAUUAUGCUUUGAUCAGCUGUGACUCCUCAGGAGGCAGGUUUAUGAUAUAUGGUGUUAUGAAUCUUUCGGUUGCUUUUACAAGUCUCUAUACUGUCCUUAGUUUCAGUCUGACUAUACGUAGCAGAAAUGUAUACGGGUGUCCAGUUCGGACACUAGUCAUGGCCCAUGGGAUUGGGUCGUGACAAUUUUGAC